AUACGGAGGAUGCAAGCGUUAUCCGGAUUUAUUGGGUUUAAAGGGUGCGUAGGCGGUUUGCUAAGCGGGAGGUGAAAUGCCGGCGCUCAACGUCGGAAGUGCCUCCCGAACUGGUGGACUUGAAUGACUCUGCCGUGGGAGGAAUGUGUAGUGUAGCGGUGAAAUGCUUAGAGAUUACACAGAACACCGAUUGCGAAGGCAUCUCACGAAGGGUUGAUUGACGCUGAGGCACGAAAGCGUGGGGAUCAAACAGGAUUAGAUACCCUGGUAGUCCACGCAGUAAACGAUGAUGGCUAACCGCUGGGCUUAUCAGUUCAGUGGCCAAGCGAAAGCGAUAAGCCAUCCACCUGGGGAGUACGACCGCAAGAAUGAAACUCAAAUGAAUUGACGGGG
rnacentral:rRNA from 1 species